CCCUGAUCAACACGGGGAAAGCAGCCAAGGCAUAUUUGUGAGGUUGUGCUGGAGGUCACAAGCAAUCACACUCUUAAGACGAAGGAUGUAAUUUGAAUGCUUAUACUUUAAAUAAUGCAGUUUCAGGAAAACGGGGCAGUGAAACUUUGCUAAUCUCUUCUCCAGUUCACCGGCAGCAUUUGUGGCAUGACUCCAGGCAGUCUUUCUGAUACUGCUGUGACUAUGACUCAGGAUCACACUGCUCAUCCAGGAUACACCAGAGAAAAUCAAAGCUCAGUUCUGUGCUGUCAUAUACACAUUUGAUCGAGGAGAUGCUUGAAGACCACCAGUGAAGAUAUCACCCAUCAUCGGCACAAACCAUGUGCUGCUACCCUCACUUUUCCAUCCCCUGAAUGAAUAAACAGAGUAUUUUAGGCACAAGGGUAAUUGUUGCAGAUUUAACUACAGCACCCUCUGGGGGAACUGCAAUUCUUUACGGCUGUUCUGUGUUAAA